GAUUAGAUACCGUCGUAGUCUUAACUUUAAACUAUGUCGACUAAAGAUCAGUUAAAGUCUAUUAUAAAAUGACUUUAUUGGUAUUUUAUGAGAAAUCUGAAGUAUUCGGAUUCCGGGGGGAGCAUGGUCGCAAGGCUGAAACUUAAAGGAAUUGACGGAAGGGCACCACCAGGAGUGGAACCUGCGGCUUAAUUGGACUCAACGCCGGAAAACUCACCAGGUCCGGACACAAGUAGGAUUGACAGAUUGAUAGUUCUUUCUUGAUUUUGUGGAAAGUGGUGCAUGGCCGUUUUUAGUUGGUGGAUUGAUUUGUCUGGUUUAUUCCGUUAACGAACGAGACCUUAACCUAUUAAAUAGUAACCUAAACAUUAAUUGUUUAAAAAAAAAAAAAAAAAUCAAGAAAGAUUAUUUUAUUUUUUUUUUUAAAACAUGAAAAAAGUAAUACAUACGGGGUUUAUUGAUAUUACUUCUUAAAGGGACAUUUCAUGUUUAAUGAAAGGAAGAUUGAGGCAACAACAGGUCUGUGAUGCCCUUCGAUGUUCUGGGCUGCACGCGUGUUACAAUGUUAUAAUCAGCGAGUUAGUGACCUAACCCUUAUGGGUAUAGGUAAUCUUAUAAAACUAUAAACAUGAUUGGGAUAGAUCCUUGUAAUUAUUGAUCUUGAACGAGGAAUUCCUAGUAAAUAUGAGUCAUCAUCUCAUGUUGAUUACGUCCCCGCCCUUUGUACACACCGCCCGUC
rnacentral:rRNA from 1 species